rnacentral:rRNA from 1 species
CCCAGACUCCUACGGGAGGCAGCAGUGAGGAAUAUUGGUCAAUGGCCGCAGGGCUGAACCAGCCAAGUCGCGUGAGGGAUGACGGUCCUAUGGAUUGUAAACCUCUUUUGUCAGGGAGCAAAGGGCGCCACGUGUGGCGUUUUGCGAGUACCUGAAGAAAAAGCAUCGGCUAACUCCGUGCCAGCAGCCGCGGUAAUACGGAGGAUGCGAGCGUUAUCCGGAUUUAUUGGGUUUAAAGGGUGCGCAGGCGGGACGUUAAGUCGGCGGUAAAAAUGCGGAGCCCAACUCCGUCGAGCCGUUGAAACUGCCGUUCUUGAGUGAGCGAGAAGUAUGCGGAAUGCGUGGUGUAGCGGUGAAAUGCAUAGAUAUCACGCAGAACUCCGAUUGCGAAGGCAGCAUACCGGCGCUCAACUGACGCUGAAGCACGAAGGCGUGGGUAUCGAACAGGAUUAGAUCCCCGCGUA